rnacentral:rRNA from 1 species
AUGUGAUCGUCUCUCGCAUAUCAAUAAGCGGAGGAAAAGAAACUAACAAGGAUUCCCCUAGUAACGGCGAGUGAAGCGGGAAGAGCUCAAAUUUGAAAUCUUAAAGGGUUUCCCUUUACGAAUUGUAGUUUAAAGAAGUGUUUUCUGUUGAGGUUUUGGUAAAAGUUCUUUGGAAUAGGACAUCAUAGAGGGUGAGAAUCCCGUAUUUGACCUUUACUUUCAACUUUGUGAUACACUUUCAAAGAGUCGGAUUGUUUGGGAAUGCAGUCCAAAAUGGGUGGUAAAUUUCAUCUAAAGCUAAAUAUUGGCGAGAGACCGACUAGCGAACAAGUACCGUGAGGGAAAGAUGAAAAGAACUUUGAAAAGAGAGUUAAACAGUACGUGAAAUUGUCAAAAGGGAAGCGUUUGACACCCAGUGUUGUUUUUUCUGAAAAUCAAUUAAAGAACUGUUUAUGCUAAGCUGUUUAGACUUUAUCAGCUAUCUGUUUAGUUUUGAGCUUUUCUUUAAUGCACUUUUCAGUUAACAAGUCAACAUCAAUUUCUUUUGCUGUAAAAAAAGCUUGAGGAAGGUGGCUUGAGAUUCGUCUUAAGUGUUUAUAGCCUCUUGCCUAUGCAGUCGGAGAGAUUGAGGUCUGCAGCGUAGGAUCCUUCGGGGCUAAAUGCAUUUGUGCUAAGUUAUAGCAUUUUAUAGACAACUUGUUGACUAUGAUUUGUCUUGUAGCUUACUCGCUUAUGUUAUUUUACCUACGCUUAGGAUGUUGAAGACUCUACAGAGAUA